GUAACACCUAGUCAACAUGCCCAGGGGACGUGGAUAACCUCGGGAAACUGAGAAUGAACCGCGAUAGGUCACAAUUUCUGGAAUGGAUUUUGGCUUAAAUCUAUAUGGCCCCUGGAUUGGACUGCGGCCGAUCAGGCUGUUGGUGAGGUAAUGGCCCACCAGGCCUGUAACCGGUACGGGCUCUGAGAGGAGGAGCCCGGAGAUGGGCACUGAGACAAGGGCCCAGGCCCUAUGGGGCGCAGCAGGCGCGAAACCUCUGCAAUGGGCGAAAGCCUGACAGGGUUACUCUGAGUGAUUUCCGCUAAGGGGAUCUUUUGACACCUCUAAAAAUGGUGUAGAAUAAGGGGUGGGCAAGUCUGGUGUCAGCCGCCGCGGUAAUACCAGCACCCCGAGUGGUCGGGACGAUUAUUGGGCCUAAAGCAUCCGUAGCCGGUUCUU
rnacentral:rRNA from 1 species